UACAACAUGGUUUUUGAACUUACUACGUGUAGAAGAAAUUAAUCCUGAGUACAUGCUGGAAAAAUCUUUCUACCAGUUCAGCAUUAUAGAGCCAUUCCAGGAGUAGUAGAGAAGGUAAAGAACUCAGAAGAACAGUAUAACAAAUAUAAUUCCCAAUGAAGAAAGUGUAGUCAUCUAUUACAAGAUUAGACAACAGCUUGCCAAACUGGGUAAAGAAAUUGAAGAAUAUAUUCAUAAACCUAAAUAUUGCUUACCAUUUCUACAACCAGGUCGUUUGGUAAAGGUAAAGAAUGAAGGAGAUGACUUUGGUUGGGGAGUAGUGGUGAAUUUCUCAAAAAAGUCAAAUGUUAAGGUAAACCGUUGGCCUUAAGUAAAAU